CCUGGCGGCACUAGCGCGGUGGUCCCACCUGACCCCAUGCCGAACUCAGAAGUGAAACGCCGUAGCGCCGAUGGUAGUGUGGGGGCUCCCCAUGCGAGAGUAGGGAACUGCCAGAC
rnacentral:rRNA from 1 species